rnacentral:lncRNA from 1 species
GGCGGCUCCCUGAAGUCGGCUCGAUGCCGGAAAAUUAGCCCUGCCUGGCCCGAUCCCCCGCUCCGCUGCAGAACGCGUCUGCCCCGGAGCCGAUCGCCUCGGCAAAUGGCAUGAAGAAAUGAAGAGAGGACAAAGUCAGGAGAAAGACCAAGAAAAUAGAUGCUAGUCAUUACUUGGACUUCAUGUUGAACUAGAAAUAUUUGCAAAAUCUAAUACAACUUCAUAUACAGUGGGGCUGAAAAUCACUUCUCCUUUCCUGGUGAGUACUCCAGUUUUAUACCCAAUAACUCAAUACUUCAUAUUUUGCCACAGCAUCACAGUUGCAAAUCUAUUUCAGAGACAUUAUGUUUUAGGAUAUAAUAUCACAUUUUAUAUAGACAGUCUCAAUACCCUUAUUUUUUAUUUUCAACUAUUCUUGAGAUUAUGUUAAAAAUGCUGUUUAAAUGUGCUUAAUUAAUUUAUCAAGGAGACCAAAUUUUUCUUCAUUGUCUUGUAACCACUUGUAAUAUCUGUUUUGGUUUGUUUUCUCGUUUUUGUUGUUGUUUGUUUAUUUUGUGGGGUUUUGUUUAUUUGUUUUCAGCAAGACUGUCUUUUUUUCUAUAUUACCAUUGGGCAGUGUCAGACUACCAGCAGCAGCCCCAUGGACAUUUUCCAGCAUCCCACUUUUCAGAAAUAAUUCCCUAGUAUGUGCUUGAGAGACAGCUCUUAAGCAACUUGUGCAUUUACUGAGGUUAUCUAGUUCUAUUUGUUAUUGUGUGCAAGGAAAUCAAUUGCCUUUUUUAUUUAAAUUUGAUACAAAUCUACUCAUUUUAUCAAUCCAGCUUUCAAGAAUUACACAAGAGUUGGGUGACAAAAACUGUUCACUCUGAAAUUUGUUGACAAGAUUCUAACUCCAUCCUGUCAUUCUGUUCUCUCUCAAGAGGAUCUCAGUGAGAUUUCCUUUUUUUUUUUUUUUUUUUUUUCUCAAAAUGUAAUAUUAGGAUACAUGGGUCUUUUAUUAUUAUUAUUAUUUUUAGCACAAUAAAAGCAUUUCCACUCAAUUUCUUCA